UACUCGCCUCUGCCGUCUUCUCAUCUCCAUCUUCCUCUGAUUCUCCCUCACGCAAUGUGUAGCUUCAUCUUCCUCCUCGUCUUUACCCUUUAAUUUUUCUCUUCUCUUUGUCUCUUUCCUUCUCUUUCUUACCGCCGCUGCUUCUCUUUGUCUCUUUCCUUCUCUUUCUUACCGCCGCUGCUUCUAGAUCUGAUCCACUAAAACCAUUUGCAGAAGAUUUGAUUCUUGUUAUUUCGACGAAAACUAGUUUUUACAAGAGACUGGGAAGAUCAGGUGAUUCAUGAACUAUGAAGUAUGAACAUCAAAGAGUGUGCAAAGGAGUCGAGAUAUGACAACAUAAACUCAAAACAAUCUUCGGAAGCAGCUCGAGAAACUGAACGCUCAAAUCAUUUUUUUUGCUCAUCUCCAUCGUUUUUAAUUUCUUUCACGUCUUUAGACUCGAUUGUAUUAGUUAAUUUCGACGUAUAUACAAAAUUCGUUGUAAUUGUAAUUUUUUUUAUAAUUAAUAGUAUUCAUUAUUUUUGUUA